GAUGAAUGCUGGCGGCGUGCCUAACACAUGCAAGUCGAGCGGCAGCGAGUUUUACACUGAAUUCUGGAAGCUUCUGAGUAGUACAGAAGAUUUAUUCAAGAGUUUUGUGUAAAAUGUCGGCGAGCGGCGGACGGCUGAGUAACGCGUAGGAAUUUGCCCCAAAGUGAGGAAUAACUGCCCGAAAGGGUAGCUAAUGCCGCAUACGGUCUUCGGAUUAAAGCCUUCGGGCGCUUUGGGAGAAGCCUGCGUUGGAUUAGGUAGUUGGUAGGGUAAUGGCCUACCAAGCCGACGAUCCAUAGCUGGUCUGAGAGGAUGAUCAGCCAGACUGGAACUGAGACACGGUCCAGACUCCUACGGGAGGCAGCAGUGAGGAAUCUUCCACAAUGGGCGAAAGCCUGAUGGAGCAACGCCGCGUGAAGGAUGAAGGCCUUCGGGUUGUAAACUUCUUUUAUGAGUGAAGAAUAUGACGGUAACUCAUGAAUAAGCACCGGCUAACUACGUG
rnacentral:rRNA from 1 species